GUAUCAAAUAUUCCUGUUGCCUGAUUUCAGGGCUCUGUUGCUCAGAAGAUCUCUCGUUUACUUUGAACACUAAAUACAGCCUGCAAGAUAAUUAUGCAUGGGAGAAGACUGAUGCCCUGACUGUCC
rnacentral:lncRNA from 1 species